rnacentral:rRNA from 1 species
AUUGAACGCUGGCGGCAGGCUUAACACAUGCAAGUCGAACGAGUGGCGGAAGGGUGAGUAAUGUCUGGGAAACUGCCUGAUGGAGGGGGAUAACUACUGGAAACGGUAGCUAAUACCGCAUACCAUCGGAUGUGCCCAGAUGGGUUUAGCUAGUAGGAGGGGCAAAGGCUCACCAAGGCGACGAACCCUAGCUGGUCUGAGAGGAUGACCAGCCACACUGGAACUGAGACACGGUCCAUACUCCUAAGGGAGGCAGCAGUGGGGAAUAUUGCACAAUGGGCGAAAGCCUGAUGCAGCCAUGCCGCGUGUAUGAAGAAGGCCUUCGGGUUGUAAAGUACUUUCAGCGGGGAGGCGGUACCCGCAGAAUAAGCACCGGCUAACUACGUGCCAGCAGCCGCGGUAAUAC